rnacentral:rRNA from 1 species
CGGACGGGUGAGUAAUGUCUGGGAAACUGCCUGAUGGAGGGGGAUAACUACUGGAAACGGUAGCUAAUACCGCAUAACGUCGCAAGACCAAAGAGGGGGACCUUCGGGCCUCUUGCCAUCGGAUGUGCCCAGAUGGGAUUAGCUAGUAGGUGGGGUAACGGCUCACCUAGGCGACGACCCCUAGCUGGUCUGAGAGGAUGACCAGCCACACUGGAACUGAGACACGGUCCAG